rnacentral:lncRNA from 1 species
AUGGCUGGCACAGGACCCCCGGGGCACGGCAGGUGCCCGUUGCCCGCUCCGCCAGCGGCUGCAUUCCCCAAAAGCACACCAUCCCAUCGUGUCUGCUGCCUCCUGACCCCCGGCCCUUAUCUCAUCCCACAUCACCUUCCUGCGUUUCCUGGCCUCUCCCUGCCCCGGGCCAUCCCUGGGUCUCCGGAGCGAGCCGUGGCCACGCCCGAGCUGGCGCGGGUUACCAGCAGCCGCGGGGCUGGGACCGCUCGCCGCCGGGCCCGGGCUUCGCGCUCGUCCUGGCCGCUGGGGCCUCGGAGAGCGGCGGCAGGAGCGAGGCAUCACCCGAGCGCUGACAGGCGCCUCUCCGCCUUCCCCGCCCGGCGCAUUCGCCUUGCCACGUGCAGAACCCGGCAGGCGCGGACCGCCAGCGCCCUCGCGGUUGCCGUGGCUACGCACGAGCGGCCGCAGCUGACCCAGGCGGGGCCUCCCUCCGCCGCCUCCGCCUCGGGCUCCGUCCCCGCUCGGUUAGGGAACCCCAAGCCCCCGGCCCCUACAAGCUGUGCACACCUGCAGCAGACCCGUUUCUGCAAAGCUUCUGAAGAAAAGAAAACAACUUCAAAGCGCUUGGAAAAGUUGUUGAAUAGGAAAGCUGGCUGUCCUGGAAAUCCCGGCUACUGCUCUGUAACACAAGGCACCUCACCUGUCUCUGCUCAGGCACACAGGUGCUGGGACAGGGAAGAAGAGGAGUUCCAGGCACAUGAGCUGGGAGUGCCAAAGAACAGACACACAGCUGGCACUGAAGGGAGGAGCCAGCUAACAUCUAAGACCAACAGCCCUUCAAACGGCCCUUCAGACUGUGCUGUGGAAGCCAGGGCAGCACCUCCAGACCAUUUAUCCCCACUUCCAAGUUCUGCAAGACAAGUUGUUGUGAUCGUCAAGUUCUGGAAGACUAACUGUCAUGGUCUUGUCUCCAGGGGAUCAUCGCCUUAUGACUGUGGAGAAUGUGUUGAGACUAUUUGCAGAAAGGAUUGUCCAAUGCCAGACAAAAUGGAUUUGAAAAAUGCCUGGUGCAAUGGGGAAAAAGGAUAG